ensembl:lncRNA
GAUCAAUAUAGUUGGGGUGCAGAUACAGGCCUUCCCCUAGGGAAACACUUGCAUCAGUAUUAGUGAGAGACCAAGUACACAUCUGAAGCAUUCCUGUGCUUUCUGUCCACUUGUCAGGUGAUGUUGCCACGUAUGACUGUCCAUCAGCCAGGAGAUGAACCCCCACCCGUGAGGCAGUGACUCAAGGUGCAAGGGAGUCCGGCAAGAAGUGUGGCGCACCCGAGUUGCUGCCACUGCUUUUUGGAUCACCCAGCACGGUGAUGUUGCCACGUAUGACUGUCCAUCAGCCAGGAGAUGAACCCCCACCCGUGAGGCAGUGACUCAAGGUGCAAGGGAGUCCGGCAAGAAGUGUGGCGCACCCGAGUUGCUGCCACUGCUUUUUGGAUCACCCAGCACGGUCUUCUGAAGUCUUCCUGAAAGCAUCCCUGGUGAUCUGUGAGCCCUUGGUCGUGUUGCCCGCCUUCUUCCUGUGGGUCUUGCUGGAUGCUCAUUGUCCCUGUGAGCCGAGGCCCUGGAGGCUUCAGAUUUAGGU